GGGAGGGGAUGGAGGCUCAAGACAGAGGUGGUAUAUAUACGUGCUAAGUCGCUUUAGCUGUGUCUGACUCUUUGCAGCCCUACAGACUGUAGCACGCCAGGCUCCUCUGUCUAUGGAAUUCUCCAGGCAAGAUACUGGAGUGGGUUGCCAUGCCCUGCUCCAGGGGAUCUUCCUGACCAAGGAAUUGAACCUGUCUCUCAUUAUGUGUCCUGCUUUGGCAGGACGGUUCUUUACCACUAGUGCUACCUGGGAAGCCCAUUAUGUGUAUAAUUAUGGCCUAUCUGUGUUGCUGUAUGACAGAAAUCAACACAGCAUUGUAAAGCAGUUUUCCUCCAAUUAAAAAUAAAUUUAAAAAGAUAAAAAAAUAAAGUAGUACACAAAGGCUUAUAAUGAACAAAAAAUUAUUUCUAUCUUGGUUCACUGCCCAGAGGCAAUAAUAACCUUGAAUUCUUUUAGUGUCAAGCCCCUGGUGGGACUUAGCACCAUGACUCAGAAACUAUGGGUAUGUCUGUGGUUCUUAAUCAACUUCAGUUAUUAUUAAUUCAGAUUUCUGGCUUUGAUAGAUGAGAUUUAAUUUCAUUUCUAUCCUAUACCACCUCAUCUCUCAACUUUGAAAGAUUGUCGUUUUUACUAUAUAUAGUAAAAAUAAUAAAUAGAACUUAAUUAUUUUGGCCUUGUAAAUAGUGUUCUUUUCAGAGCUACACUAAGAUGAUAUUUUAUUUCUUUUUUCCCUGGAGUUUGUAGUUGCCUUUUCUUUUUCUUUUUUCAAACUAUUUGUCUUUGUUGUGUCUAAAAUGUUUUUUCAAGAUUUUUCUUAUGUUACAUAUGUGGUGAAGGUCUUUUUUAUUUUUUCUGAUGACACUUUUCUAAGAUUUCUGCUGGUCCAGUGUACACUGUACAGCUUUAAUCCUUGGAUUUCCCUGAUGGAUGUUGGGGAUUUCACUGGACUUCAGAUUUUCAGGCUCUCUGGGCUUUCUGAAGGCAGAUUGGUUUCCUGGGUGGCUAAUGCCUCUCAUUUCUCAUGUUGUCUUUGCUGGAGUUUUUCCUACCCUGCUUCCUGUUCCCACUUCCUCACCACACUCCUCCAAGGAUUUAUUAAAAUCUAUCUUUAACCCAUGAUUCCUCCUCUUUUAAUUCUUACAGAUCUAUUGCUUUUAAAAUUCCAUCACUGUCAUUUUAAUGGGUUUUUAGGAGGAGAGAAAUGCGUGUACUUAGUCUGCUGUUUUGAACCAGAAGUCCCACUUAAGGUUAAAAAAAGGCUCUUGCAAUUUCUGUCUCUCUGUGUGUCUCUCUCUGUAUUAUUAUUUUCACUUAGGUGUAAUCUAGUGAUUGAUGACACUACUGUUAGAUAAAGCUAGAUAGAACUUAGUGCUUAUAUGCCACAGUGAAUAUCAUCAGGGUUCAUUCAUCCUGAAGUUUACCUAGGGGUUCAUAAUGCUGCUUCAUGCUUUUUAACUGUUGGAGCCAUCUACAUUUUGGUAAUAUCAUUUAGUGCUUUUCAGUGAUUAUGUAUGCCAUUCCCUGGUGGCUCAGACAGUAAAGAAUCUGCCUGCAAUGCAGUGGGUUCAAUUCCUGGGUCAGAAAGAUUCCCUGGAGGAGGGUAUGGAAACCCAUUCCAGUAUUCUUGCCUGGAGAAUCCCAUAGAUGGAGGAGUCUGGGGUGGCAAAGAGUUGGACACAACUGAGUGACUAAUACUUUCACUUUCAAUGGUUAUAUAUGAGGAGGGUGUGACUUUAUAAAGUGAUGAAACAUAGGAGAGCAAUUUUAUUAAAUUAUACAAUAUGGACAUAGAUGUAUAAGACCAUAAUUUAUCUGAUUCCUGAAGACUUUGUUUAUCUGCCUGACUUUUUUUUUUGUAUCAUGGACAUCUUCCUUUGAGCCAUUUUCAAAUUUAAACUAGAGCUGGGACUUCUACUUUUUUUUUUUCUCUUUUUUAAAAAUUAAUUUAUUUAUUUUAAUUGAAGGCUGAUUACUUUACAGUAUUGUAGUGGUUUUUGCCAUACAUUGACUUCUGAUACUAUAAUUUCGAGUGAAUGCUGGUUUCUGUCUGCUCACUUUGAGCAGAUAGGGAACCUGAAAAUCACGCAUGCUCUAUUCCUGUUUUUCCCUUGUUGUUGUUGUUUGGUUGCUAAGUCAUGUUCAACUCUUUGCAACCCUAUGCACUGUAGCCUGCCAGGCUUCUCUGUCUGUGGGAUUUCUCAGGCAGGAAUACUGGAGUGGGUUGCCAUGUCCUUCUCCAAGGUAUCUUCCCGACCCAGGGAUUGAAUCGUGUCUCCUGUACUGGCAGGCAGAUUCUUUACUGCUGAGCCAAGGUCACCUCUUCUCCAGAAACUUUC
ensembl:lncRNA